GAUGAACGCUGGCGGCGUGCCUAAUACAUGCAAGUCGAGCGAACGGACGAGAAGCUUGCUUUUCUGAUGUUAGCGGCGGACGGGUGGGUAACACGUGGAUAACCUACCUAUAAGACUGGGAUAACUUCGGGAAACCGGAGCUAAUACCGGAUAAUAUUUUGAACCGCAUGGUUCAAAAGUGAAAGACGGUCUUGCUGUCACUUAUAGAUGGAUCCGCGCUGCAUUAGCUAGUUGGUAAGGUAACGGCUUACCAAGGCAACGAUGCAUAGCCGACCUGAGAGGGUGAUCGGCCACACUGGAACUGAGACACGGUCCAGACUCCUACGGGAGGCAGCAGUAGGGAAUCUUCCGCAAUGGGCGAAAGCCUGACGGAGCAACGCCGCGUGAGUGAUGAAGGUCUUCGGAUCGUAAAACUCUGUUAUUAGGGAAGAACAUAUGUGUAAGUAACUGUGCACAUCUUGACGGUACCUAAUCAGAAAGCCACGGCUAACUACGU
rnacentral:rRNA from 1 species